rnacentral:rRNA from 1 species
ACCGGAAGAAUAAGCACCGGCUAACUACGUGCCAGCAGCCGCGGUAAUACGUAGGGUGCNAGCGUUAAUCGGAAUUACUGGGCGUAAAGCGNGCGCAGGCGGUUUUGUAAGNCAGANGUGAAAUCCCCGGGCUNAACCUGGGAAUUGCNUUUGNGACUGCCAGGCUAGAGUGCGUCAGAGGGGGGUNGAAUUCCACGUGUAGCAGUGAAAUGCGUAGAGAUGUGGAGGAAUACCGAUGGCGAAGGCAGCCCCCUGGGACNUGACUGACGCUCAUGCACGAAAGCGUGGGGAGCAAA